GACGAACGCUGGCGGCGUGCCUAAUACAUGCAAGUCGAGCGAGCUGAACCAACAGAUUUACUUCGGUAAUGACGUUGGGAACGCGAGCGGCGGAUGGGUGAGUAACACGUGGGGAACCUGCCCCUCAGUCUGAGAUACCACUUGGAAACAGGUGCUAAUACCGGAUAAUAAAGCAGAUCGCAUGAUCAGCUUUUGAAAGGCGGCGUAAGCUGUCGCUAAGGGAUGGCCCCGCGGUGCAUUAGCUAGUUGGUAGGGUAACGGCCUACCAAGGCAAUGAUGCAUAGCCGAGUUGAGAGACUGAUCGGCCACAUUGGGACUGAGACACGGCCCAAACUCCUACGGGAGGCAGCAGUAGGGAAUCUUCCACAAUGGACGAAAGUCUGAUGGAGCAACGCCGCGUGAGUGAAGAAGGUUUUCGGAUCGUAAAGCUCUGUUGUUGGUGAAGAAGGAUAGAGGUAGUAACGGCCUUUAU
rnacentral:rRNA from 1 species